GGAACUUCUACUUAUCGAAUUUCAUUGAAUGUAUCAGUGUCUGGUUUCUGUGCGACCACAGAGGAACUUGUUUACUGCAGCGACAGUACCUGAGAAACACAUGCACAAAUUCCUUUUUUUUGCUUAGAAUACAAGCAAGCAUUUAUAGCUGUUAUAAAAAUUGUGAGCACAAAGCGCACACUGCAUUGUGAGUGCAGCCCACACUGAAGGCCUACUACACUCCACUGGUUCCCACUGCAGGUAGAAUUGCUUCCUUGGUUCUCUCAGAGCACACUGACAACCACCUAUUUGUUGGUGUGAGGGGGCUGAGAUGUUAUUGCAUUCUCAUCUCAACAUUCAGAACAGACUUCGAUAAAAAUGCGGUUUUUUUUUUUUUAUUAAGAUCAACCCAUGUCUCGGGGACGUCAGCACUGCAGUCUCUGUGAGAACUUCUUUCAGAAGUGGUCAUGCAUGUGGCAUGCUAGCUUAGUUCCUUUUUGUGAGAAAUGCUGCUGCUGCAAAAAAAGAAAAAAAAACACUCCCAUGAGGGGUCUUUUCUGUGAGAAACUCUUAACAACAGUGUGGAACUGGUUUCAUUUCAUCUUCACGUAACUAAUUGCUGCUAGAACAACACGUCUCUGCAAUGCACAUUGCACUGCAAAUGGACAUUUCAAACACAGUCAGACAUCGGUCAAGCGCUGUACUCAAGAAUGUCCUUUGCGCAGCAGCUCAGAUGAACUGAAAAAGUGUGGGAGAAGAGCUAGAGAAGAAUGCAACAAGAGCAUGUCUGGUAACAGCAAUGAAACCAGUACGGCUUCUACCAAAAAGGAUUCAUCUCGCACUCUGGAUCAGCCUUAUUUCUGUACAGUACGGGGAAGGAGGGAGACAUAGACAAGUGGAACUUGCUGGGACGACAGUGUUUCUCCAUUCUGCAAAUAAGGCAAAUAAGACUAUUCCGAGUAUACGGUGGAAAAAAUCGGACACUCUCAUUGGCAAUUUGCGAAAGGCAAAUAAGUCCUCAUAUCUGUGCUGUCAGUUUCAGCCCUCAUCUGUGUGUCGGUGUAUUAUUUUUCCUAAUGGGUCUCUGAGACUUGACUACGCAGCUAAAAAUGAUAAUGGAAAUUACACGGUAGAGUUGCAUGACGAUGUUGGCAAGGACAUUGGAUCUGUGGAUGUUGAACUGUUGGUUCAAGAGGUUGUGAGCUUACCCAAGGUUCUUGUGAUAUGUGGGCAAGAUGGCAACUACAUGAUGACCUGCUCAGUGCCUGAUAGUGAGGGAGUCGAGCUGUUCUGGAUGGACUCCUCCAACAGGACCUGGAAUGCUGAGCAUGCCCUGAGCCUUGCGUCCCACACACCGGGCUGGAUCGUCUGUGUGGCACAGAAUGAACUCAGCAGGCUCUCAAGCCAACCAGUGUCUCCACAAUGUAGAGGGCGCAUAUCAUUGUUGGUUGCCCUUGGAAUGUUCCUCUGUGUUUUAGCAUUUUCCAUGACCAUUAUGAUACGCCGUAACCGGAUACGGAAGGAUGAAAAUGAAGAUGUGGAAGAAAACCCUUAUGUCACAAUGCAUGGCCUUGUGGGGAAGAAGAAGAAGGAUGGGCGCAAAGAAAGUGUGGAGAUGGACACCUCAGUCUAUGUGACCUGCAGGACUUACUGCGUUAGAGACACUGAGGAUGGUAAUGAAGGCAACAUGUAACCAGACUCAUUUUAAAAGAGAAUAUCGGGAAAAAUGCAGCAACAGUGAAUGAACAUAAGACACAUUGAUGAAAGACGGCUAGGUUCAUGGUUCACAGGCUGGCUACAGCAUGGAACAGCUCAACUGCAUGUUUUUAAUUAAACUAUUUAUUUUGCAUAUGUCAGAAUAUCACAAAAUUCAGAGUAUGCUGUAUACACAUGUACAUACCUGGCAAAAAUCUCUAAUAAAUGUUUAAAUGUACUGCCA
ensembl:lncRNA